rnacentral:lncRNA from 1 species
CAGAUGUGAUGCCAGAUAUCAACUUUAGUGGGGUUGUGAUUAAGAGUCAAAGCUCAGUCGUUUACAGAUUGUCUUGUUCGACAGAUGUAAUCUUUUGGGGAUGUACUGUGGAAAUUCUAGUUAAUGGCGUUACCGUACAGGAUUUACGAUAUUUGGACGAUUUUUGCUACAACAGGAAUGGUAUAUGCUAUCCGGAUUUAUGU